AGGACCAGAACGAGACGAGUGGGUAUGGGAGUUCUGCUUGGCAUGGGCCUUGGCUGAUCACUACCCUGUGGCCUUGUGGGAAAGCGGGUAUUUUGUGGAGUGCCACGAGACGACGGCUCUUAGUGCCACUCCGACGAUCUUAGCCAGAAUCGCGUGUUUUUUUUGUGUGUUUUUUAUUAUUAUUAUUAUUAUUGCGUGGUUCCUUGUGUUCACCUCGCCGUAUUUUUGUUUGUUUGUUUUUAUCAGUGUUUUCAAAGUAAUUCUCGCGCACUGUCAUUUUUUUUCUGUUCUGAAAAGUGUGUUUUGUUAUUGAUCAAAAAAUUGAAAAGGAAAUAUUGCCAUAAAACUGAAUAUUUCUUAAAGGGGAAACUCCAUGCCAAUGUGAUAUUUACAUCGUGUUUCGUUUUUUUUUUCUUUCUUUUUCCUCUUCUUAGUUGUCUUGUGUUGUCAGUCUAAAACGAAAAAGAAGUUACAUUUCUAAAUUUAUCUUUCGACGGAGAGGGAUGGUACUAGGAAAUCGAUUUUAUAUAUUUUUUCCCCCUUUUCUUCUUUUCAAGCGACACGUAAACAAUUCUGUUCGAGUUCUGUUUUGUACAUCUGACUUUUAUUGCCAAAAUUAGAACCUUUUUAUUGACUCUAGAUCAUGGUUUCUGCGAAGAGUUUCCGUUUCAUAUCAUGUUUUUGGUCACAUUAUUUUUUUUUUUAUGAUGAUAAGAGUGGGACAUGUAUUUCUACUAUAAACGAAAAUUUGUAGUAUUCCUCCGCACUUUGUUUUGUGAAGAAAUUUUUAUCGUAUCUCUCGAGCCAUAAUCUAAAAGUGAUAUAAUAUUAAUCCUGCGAAACAGAAUAGGAAAAAAUCCCUUUUGACUUGAGGUGCUUGAAAAUCCCUUGACAAAGCAUCGUGUGUUUAUUUUUCGCUCGUAUCUCCAUCGUCUUAAUCUUUGUCGUCUCUCCUCUGCUAUCGAAUUUGUUCCGAUGAGAAGCAACAAGUCUUUUGUAAUGGGAAAAUAAAUAAUAAUAAUGAUAAUAAUAAUAUUAAUAAUAAUAAUAAUGAUAAAUAAUAAUAAUAAUGGUAUUAUUCUCAUAAAUAUUUAGCCUCGCCUAAAACAUAAACAACACCAUAUAUUCCGUCUCCUCCUUGGUAUAUAGUAGUUGUUAAAAGACGAAACGCAUCAUAUAUGCAUCGGCGGUAGUUUCAUCUUAACCUGUGAUGUUACAGCGUCUCCCCUUAUGGUAACAGAAGCCCCACGUGUGUAUAUAUAUAUAUUUAUAUUUAUUUAUAUUUAUAUAUAUAUAAACUAAAAAACAAAAGAAGUUCGCGGAGACAAUGUUUUCUCCCGUGACGUCAGAGGGGCGAGUUCACCCUGCGACGUAUCAAAUAACCUUUAAUUUCGACAGAAGCAGAGGAAGAAGAAAGAGAAAAUGGAACAAGAACAGCAACACAUAAAAAAAAAAAAAAAACACUAAGCCAGCGAUCUCCAGGAUAAAGAAAGUUUAAUACUGUUUAGUGGAGAUUCUUGAGUGUUACGUUCACACACACAUAAUGAGAUGUCAAAGCGACCUCUGCAUAUUCCAUUUGCUUUCACCUUUUUUCCAAGUAGUGCGAACCAUUCUUUGAUAUAUUCUUCCGUGAUGUAGAGCGAUCUUUUCAUCCGAAAUUUUUGGUUUUAUUCAUGUAGUCGUAAGGAUAAGUGUUUUUUUUUCUUCUUUUAUUUAUUUUUUGGUUUUCUUUUAGCUGUAUCCUAAAUGUUAAUCAGGAUAUUUGGUUUAGCUGUAUCCUAAAUGUUAAUUAGGGUAUUUGGUUAUAAAUUCUCAUUCAGGUAUUGAUGACGUGCUUCAAAAUUAUCCCAAGUAUGGUAAAUAGAGAUAAAGAAAUUUGCAUAGUGAUGUGACGAGCGCGUUGUACAGUCGUUCGCCCGAAACAGGUAGUUGGUUAUGAAUGACCAGUAACUAUAUAAAAGGAGUUGUAGGGUAAUUGUGGGUGAACUGCGGGGUAUGAAUGAGUUGUGGGGUCUGAGUGAGAGUCUUUGGUUGUAAGUGAAUGGUAGCAAUGAGUUGUGGGGUCUGAGUUAGAAUCUUUGGUUGUAAGUGAAUGAUAGCAAUGAGGUGUAGGGUUUGAGUGAGUGAAUUUCAGGUUGUGAGUGAAUGAUAGAAAUGAGUAGGGUCUGAGUGAGUGAAUUCAGGUUGUAAGUGAAUGAUAGCAAUGAGUUGUGGGUUCUGAGUGAGAAUCUUUGGUUGUAAGUGAAUGAUAGCAAUGAGGAGUAGGGUCUGAGUGAGUGAAUUUCAGGUUGUAAGUGAAUGAUAGAAAUGAGUAGGGUCUGAGUGAGUGAAUUUCAGGUUGUAAGUGAAUGAUAGCAAUGAGGUGUAGGGUCUGAGUGAGUGAAUCUCAGGUUGUGAGUGAUAGCAGGUCGUGAGUAAGGAGAAAGAUGUAGAUGAGGAAGUUUUGGAGUAUGAGUGUUCAUUUUGACAUGAGUGAUGGACAGUAAGUGUGCAACAUGUAUGUGUUAAUGCGUGACAAAUUGACACCAAAUAUUGGUUGACAAAAUAUCACAUUUAGUGACAUUGAGUUUAUUCAUUUAUUUAUUAAUAUUCAUUUUUCUUAACAUAUUGUAAGUUCCUUAUUUUAGAGAAAUUUCAGUCAUAUCUUUAUAUAUAAAAUUGGAAACUUUCAAAAGAAACAUUUCGUUAUUAAAAAUAAAAAUGAUAAUAAUAGCCAUAAUCUUAUGAGGUGGGCACAAACACACUCACACUCACACACACUCAAACACACACACAUACUCACACUCACACACAUUCAUACUCACACUCGCACUCACACACACAAAUAUAUAUAUAUUGGAUCACUAGUAAAUUCAUAUAAAUUGAAACUCAACACAAUAUUAUAAAUGUAACAAUCCAUGAAUAGGUAGGCAAAUUAUUGACUGCACCUCCUGCUGCCACUGUAGUCAAAUUCUUUCCUGUGCGGUCUUCAAUUGCAGUUUUAGUUUUCCUUUUGAGUUGUAAAAAAAAGCCAAGAGUGUUUUGAUAUUCCGUGAAAGGUCAACGUAUCGGAGCUGGAAGCAGAAGUUUUGAUAUUUUCAAACAAAAUAGAAAAAUAGCAUUUACUAGCCAGUCACCAGUUAGGAGUCGGCAACAACCCUCCCCGCCUGACGAGCAGAGGAUACAUACGGGUACACUGGAUACAGGAAGGACGAUACAGAGGGUCAGUGUGGCAGAGGCAACAAAUAGCUAUAUGUGUGUGUUCAGCAGAUGAGCGGGGCUGCGUGGCUCGGUCAGAGGUACUCGCGCAGUGGUUGGGGGGGCCACUGCGACAUAUGUGGUAGGCGUUCGUGUCUUUUCGUAAGUAAUGAUAAGAAUUAUAUGUGUAUGUAUUUAUGUAUCAUGUCAACUCGCAGGUUUAUUCUUGGGGUUUCUUUUUUCGGAGAGAUACGACUUGCAGAAAUUGAAUAUAGUGUAUACCACAGUGUCAUAUUUUUUUUUUUUCCUGGAGAUCAUCGUAUUACCGAACGUCCCUUGUUGACAGACCGAGCCAAGCAGUCGGUCACAUCUGCGAGAGAUUUAACCGUAUAAUGGAUAAUAGUAUAACCUUUUAAGGAUUCCCUACCCAAGGCACCUUGCUAUGAGUGUGAGCACUAUAUAAAGCAUAUUUCUUUUGUGGGUUAUUAUCUGUUGCUUGUAGCAUCUCGAACGGAAGAGAUGCUUUUGAUGUCCUCCUGUAACGAAGUACUGGAGAUGUAACUGUUAAGGCCAUUGUUGUGGUUGAUCUCUGCUGCUAAUGACCUUUGUAGGCAUCGAUUGACGGCUCGAGACCCCGCGUGGCGAGACAAGCCGUGUCUGGGUCUCUCAGGAGAUAGUUCUAUGGCUAUAGAGUUUAGUUUGCCCAGUGGCUUAAUGUAUCCAGAAUUUAAUGCUGUUUUGAGUGUGGGAGGAUUAGUUCAGCUUUAUUGGGCGUGGCUAUAGUAAUGCUAUGAGGGCGAUUUGGUGAAUGAUUCAACGUCUUAAAUUGAACAUGAAUCAGUUUGGUUUUACAGGUUUUGCUGUACGAGUCGAGGGCAAAUAUUGAUUUCAUUUUGUAUAUUUCAAAAAAAAAAAAAAAAAAA
rnacentral:lncRNA from 1 species